rnacentral:rRNA from 1 species
GACGAACGCUGGCGGCGUGCCUAAUACAUGCAAGUCGAGCGAAGCGGGGAUGGGUGAGUAACGCGUGGGUAACCUCCCUUAAGUCUGGGAUACCAUUUGGAAACAGAUGCUAAACCGGAUACUUAUAGAUGGAUCCGCGCUGCAUUAGCUAGUUGGUAAGGUAACGGCUUACAAAGGCAACGAUGCAUCACAGACCGUAGAGGGGGAUCGGCCAUACUGUAAUUGAGACACGGUCCAGCCGCCUACGGGCAGCAGCAAUAUGGAGUAUUCCGACAGGGUCGAAAGCCUGCCUGAUCAACUCCUCGUGACAGAUAAAGGUGUUCAGAUCGUAGAACUCUGUUAUCGGGUAAACGGUACCGUAUCAGAAAUCCACGGCUAACUACGUGCCAGCAGCCGCAGUAAUUC